CUUGGUGUUGCAUGUGCCUUGUUUGUGCAUGAGUGAAGGCAAAAACGAGUCACAUGUGAUAGAAGGCAAGUGGGGGCACUUUGGUCUUUUCACAGCUGUCCAAGAUCCUCAAGAUUUUGUACAUUAAGUCCAAGAGAUUGCCCAUACACUAAUGAGGAAGGUGGAGCCUUCUUUGGAAACUUGAAUGAAGUGGGAAACAUGUGAUCUUUGGAUUUGGCUUCCUUAAUAAGCUUGAUCUUUGAGAUCCAAUAUUUGAAUGUGAAUCUUGAAGAUUUGGAUCUCAAGAUAUUUCCCUUAUUUGGCUCCUCAAAUAUGGCAACUUGGGAUAUGGCUUCU
rnacentral:lncRNA from 1 species